GUGAAACAAAUAAUUUAAUUAUUUUACAAUAAAAAUUAUUAGCAGUAAUUUAAUUAUUCUACAAUAAUUUAAUAUUCAUAUAUUAACAAAAGGUUACAUGAAAUUCUAUGUCAUAACCCAUAUGUUAAGAGAUUUAGAAAAGAUUGAAUUCAAAAGGAUCCAAUUAAGAAAAAAAAAUCUCAGCUUGCAAGUUCCACGUUAGGAAUUUAAAGAAUUUUAAAAGACUUAUAGUGGACUUUAAAUGAUAUAAACCUCCUUGUAAUACCAAUUAUUUGCCCGGGCCCACAUAAUAAAUUAAAACAGAAAAAAUAAACAGUCCAACACUAGUAGGCCCAAUAGCAGGCCCAAUAGCCAAUUUUCAAACCCUAGCCAAGCAAAAUUAAUUUGCUGAAAUCCUAAACCGGCCUCCCCUACACGCGCGCCGCUUCCACGCACAACAGCACCCACGUUCUCCUCCACAUUGACUGGCCGCAUACCUGCAAUACAACAAACAAGGAGCAAAUAGCGAAAGAAAGGGAUUCAUAGCAAAAUGGAAGGAAAGAAAUAUUUUUAUAUAUCUAUUUUCCUUUUCGCUUUGGCUAUAAAAAGCCAAUUAAAAUCUGUAUACCAGGGGAAAAAAAAGAAAUAGAGGAGAAUACUGAAAAUUGAAAGAAAAACAGUGAAAUAAAGUCGAAAGAGGUGAAUCGCAUCUUUGAUUAUUCAUUAUUUAUUUUUGUUGUUUUUUUACUGCUUUUAUAUUGAACCAAGGGGAAAAAUACUACCUUCGUGGUUACGCCGUGGGGAUCCAAGUCUGCCACGCCUGAGUCGGGGUCGGAAUCGGUGCCGGAAUUUCGACCGACCGAAUCGCUUCAAACGGCGGUGCAAGGAUGGGUUAAAAGAACCCUAGCAGAGCCACAUUUUGUUUUUUUAAAAAGGAACCAAAUGAUUUUGUUUUUUCUUUUUUUUUUCAGUUUUGUUUCAUUUAUGCAGCACACAAAGAUGGCACCGCUUGGUUUGGGGGUCUGCGCAUAUCAACCUUAAAUGGUAGAAUUGCGC
rnacentral:lncRNA from 1 species